rnacentral:rRNA from 1 species
CCCUUAGAUGUUCUGGGCCGCACGCGUGCUACACUGAUGCAUUCAACGAGUCUAAAACCUGGUCUGAUAGGGCUGGGUAAUCUUUUGAAAGUGCAUCGUGAUUGGGAUAGAUGAUUGCAAUUCUUCAUCUUCAACGAGGAAUGCCUAGUAAACGCAAGUCAUCAGCUUGCAUUGAUUACGUCCCUGCCCUUUGUACACACCGCCCGUCGCUCCUACCGAUUGAAUGAUCCGAUGAAUACCAUGGAUUGAGAGUACGAAUAGGUUCGCUUAUUUCUGCCUCUCGAGAAGUGGAGUAAAUCUUAUCAUUUAGAGGAAGGAGAAGUCGUAACA